CCUACGGGAGGCAGCAGUGGGGAAUAUUGCACAAUGGGCGAAAGCCUGAUGCAGCGACGCCGCGUGAGGGAUGACGGCCUUCGGGUUGUAAACCUCUUUCAGCAGGGAAGAAGCGAAAGUGACGGUACCUGCAGAAGAAGCGCCGGCUAACUACGUGCCAGCAGCCGCGGUAAUACGUAGGGCGCAAGCGUUGUCCGGAAUUAUUGGGCGUAAAGAGCUCGUAGGCGGCUUGUCACGUCGGAUGUGAAAGCCCGGGGCUUAACCCCGGGUCUGCAUUCGAUACGGGCUAGCUAGAGUGUGGUAGGGGAGAUCGGAAUUCCUGGUGUAGCGGUGAAAUGCGCAGAUAUCAGGAGGAACACCGGUGGCGAAGGCGGAUCUCUGGGCCAUUACUGACGCUGAGGAGCGAAAGCGUGGGGAGCGAACAGGAUUAGAUACCCUGGUAGUCCACGCCGUAAACGUUGGGAACUAGGUGUUGGCGACAUUCCACGUCGUCGGUGCCGCAGCUACGACAUUAAGUUACCCGUCCCGUCGGGAGGUACGGCCGGCCGAACGGACGUAAAACCGUUAAAACGGUAAAGUUAAGGUACGGCGUUGAGACGUUGCCGAACGGACGACCGACCGAGGGGAGGAGG
rnacentral:rRNA from 1 species